rnacentral:lncRNA from 1 species
UCCUUUUCAUUUUAAACACUAAACUUCAUAUCUCUGACCACAGAAAACUCACUCCCAACCAAUUUUAACAAACUCUUUCCUCCCAAUCAUAACUCAAUCAGGAUUUCAGAUAUUCACAACCCCAAAUCAUGCAUCAAUCAACACAAGUUAGGGUUUUGUAAUUCUCCUCUUAUAGGUAACAUCCAUGACAUAUAAUAUUGAGUAAGCUCUAUAAAUCUUUGAGGUUUAAUUCCAACACUCAGUCAUAUUCAUCUUCUUGGUUCAGUUAACCUUAAUCAUGACAACAUACAUUUGGGUUUUCUCAGAUAAAAGGGGUAAGACUAGCAUUUAAUUUGGGUAAGCACACAUACUUUGAAUAUUUGGACAAUUGUUCCUACGAUGUGGGUCAUUUGGUAACUUGGAUGAGAAAUUUUCAUUGUUAAACUAAACACUUGGGUUGCAAAUUGCUUAUUAGUAAUUGUGAUGUUGGGAAUUUUUAUAAUUUAUUGGUAAUAUCAUGCUAUUAUCUGUUUUAAGAUUUAUAAUAUGUGUUGAACACUGAAUUUAGGGGAAUAAUUGAUGAUAAGUGUUUUGUUAGCAUACAAGGUGU